rnacentral:rRNA from 1 species
GACGAACGCUGGCGGCGUGCUUAACACAUGCAAGUCGAACGCGCCUGUCCUCUGGGUUUCUGGGGGGUGGGUGAGUGGCGAACGGGUGAGUAACACGUGAGUAACCUGCCCCCUUCUUCGGGAUAACGGUCUGAAAGGGCUGCUAAUACCGGGUAUUCACUGGUCUCCGCAUGGGGUCUGGUGGAAAGGUUUUUUUCUGGUGGGGGAUGGGCUCGCGGCCUAUCAGCUUGUUGGUGGGGUGAUGGCCCACCAAGGCUUUGACGGGUAGCCGGCCUGAGAGGGUGACCGGUCACAUUGGGACUGAGAUACGGCCCAGACUCCUCCGGGAGGCAGCAGUGGGGAAUAUUGCACAAUGGGCGCAAGCCUGAUGCAGCGACGCCGCGUGAGGGAUGGAGGCCUUCGGGUUGUGAACCUCUUUCGCCCGUGGUCAAGCCGCGACGUGGGUCGUGGUGAGGGUAGUGGGUAAAGAAGCGCCGGCUAACUACGUG